rnacentral:rRNA from 1 species
UACAGAGACUGCAAGCGUUAAUCGGAAUUACUGGGCGUAAAGCGUGCGCAGGCGGUUUUGUAAGCCAGAUGUGAAAUCCCCGGGCUCAACCUGGGAACUGCAUUUGUGACUGCAUCGCUGGAGUGCGGCAGAGGGGGAUGGAAUUCCGCGUGUAGCAGUGAAAUGCGUAGAUAUGCGGAGGAACACCGAUGGCGAAGGCAAUCCCCUGGGCCUGCACUGACGCUCAUGCACGAAAGCGUGGGGAGCAAACAGG